rnacentral:misc_RNA from 1 species
AAACGACUCGUGCAUUGGAAACCGUGUCAGGGGCGAAAAGGUUAGGAUGGGGGAAGCUUGCAAGAGAACUAACCACCCUCGAAGCCGCAGCAUGGAGGAAACUAACUGUUGAAGGUACUGUUGAACCUUCCCGCUGCAAUUUCAGCGCUUGCGCUGUUGGAAACCGGGUUGUCCUUUUUGGUGGAGAAGGGGUCAACAUGCAACCGUUGAACGACACGUUUGUGUUGGAUCUGAAUGCGACUAAGCCAGAGUGGCAACAUAUCCAGGUGAGCUCUCCGCCGCCUGGCCGAUGGGGGCAUACGCUAUCUUGCCUGAACGGGUCCCGUCUGGUGGUGUUUGGCGGUUGUGGAAGGCAGGGGUUGCUCAAUGAUUUAUUCAUCUUAGAUUUGGAUGCAAAGCAACCGGCCUGGCGUGAGAUCUCUGGACUGGCGCCUCCAUUGCCGAGAUCAUGGCACAGCUCUUGUACGCUCGAUGGGACACAAUUGGUGGUUUCCGGUGGUUGUGCAGACUCUGGAGUGCUUUUGAGCGACACUUUCGUGUUGGACCUUACGACGGAGAGACCUGUGUGGAGAGAGAUACCAGUGUCUUGGUCUCCGCCUUCGAGGCUAGGUCACACUUUGUCGGUAUACCAUGGUCGGAAGAUUCUAAUGUUUGGUGGGCUUGCUAAGAGUGGGCCACUUCGGUUGCGAUCAAGCGAUGUGUUCACCAUGGAUUUAAGUGAAGAGGAACCCUGUUGGAG